rfam:Cavia porcellus supercont2_28 genomic scaffold, whole genome shotgun sequence.
GGUGAUUUAGCUCAGCGGCAUAAGCACCUGCCUUCCAAGCAGGCGGUCAUGAGUUCAAUCCCCA